UCACUUUUUGUGUUUUUCGCACAAAUGGUUGAGCAUGAAAUUCAGUAUGAAUUGAUCAAGUCCUAGAAUCGGAUGGACUUUAUAACCAGAAUGUUUAAGAUUGAACGACAAUAAUUUUGAAUAAAAUGUGGCAUUAAUGUACAAUAUAUAGAAUGAUAUAAAAGAAUGAUUAAGUAGAACUAGCUAUAGACACUUCGCAGGCUCUUUCUCACGCAAUAGAAUAUUAUAGAUGUAGAGUAGAAUCAAAUAGUUUUAUUUUUGUAUAUUAAUUUUUAGUUCCACACAAAGCACACACCGAAUGUAAAUAAGUAAUGCAAACAUUAGCCUAUAAUUGCCUAUUAUAAAAUAUUUUACUAAAGUCUCAGAUUUAUUAGAUAUUUUUUACAAUAGAUAGGUUUUUGGACAAUAAAUAGGCUAAUUGUAAAUACCGAAGUUUCAUGGACUGUAAAAUAAUUUUAGACGAAAUGUAUAUAUUUUUAGAGAAAAAGUUUUUAAUAAACGCUGAAAAAUCAGACCAGAUGAACCUGUAAUGGAAAUGUGAAAGGUGUAUACAAAGGAUCCAAUUACAUGAUAUAUCGGUUCGCUUGUCACAGUAUCGUAUUUAACCGUGUCUUCCCGACUUCACACUAGGAGAAAAAAUAUUAUAUGAGAAAUUUAUCCCUGGGCGGCAUAUGUUUGUUACCAGAGGUUUGUUACCUAGUGAAUCUGGUCGCAUACCGCGCGCGCUAUGCCGCCAUUGUGUUGCCACUGACAACGCAAACAUUCGAAUUAAC
rnacentral:lncRNA from 1 species